rnacentral:rRNA from 1 species
AUUGAACGCUGGCGGAAUGCUUUACACAUGCAAGUCGAACGGCAGCACGGGGGCAGCCCUGGUGGCGAGUGGCGAACGGGUGAGUAAUACAUCGGAACGUGCCCGGUCGUGGGGGAUAACGUAGCGAAAGUUACGCUAAUACCGCAUACGAUCUGAGGAUGAAAGCGGGGGACCUUCGGGCCUCGCGCGAUCGGAGCGGCCGAUGUCAGAUUAGGUAGUUGGUGGGGUAAAGGCCUACCAAGCCGACGAUCUGUAGCUGGUCUGAGAGGACGACCAGCCACACUGGGACUGAGACACGGCCCAGACUCCUACGGGAGGCAGCAGUGGGGAAUUUUGGACAAUGGGCGCAAGCCUGAUCCAGCCAUUCCGCGUGCAGUACGAAGGCCUUCGGGUUGUAAACUGCUUUUGUACGGAACGAAAAGGCUCUGGCUAAUACCUGGGGCUCAUGACGGUACCGUAAGAAUAAGCACCGGCUAACUACGUG